rnacentral:rRNA from 1 species
AACGAACGCUGGCGGCAUGCCUAACACAUGCAAGUCGAACGAGACCUUCGGGUCUAGUGGCGCACGGGUGCGUAACGCGUGGGAACCUGCCCUUAGGUUCGGAAUAACUCCCCGAAAGGGGUGCUAAUACCGGAUAAUGUCUUCGGACCAAAGAUUUAUCGCCUUUGGAUGGGCCCGCGUUGGAUUAGCUAGUUGGUAGGGUAAAAGCCUACCAAGGCGACGAUCCAUAGCUGGUCUGAGAGGAUGAUCAGCCACACUGGGACUGAGACACGGCCCAGACUCCUACGGGAGGCAGCAGUGGGGAAUAUUGGACAAUGGGCGAAAGCCUGAUCCAGCAAUGCCGCGUGAGUGAUGAAGGCCUUCGGGUUGUAAACCGCUUUCAGCAGGGACGAGGCGAAAGUGACGGUACCUGCAGAAGAAGCCCCGGCUAACUACGUG